CCUGUCCCGGAGGUGGCGGCGGCGCCAUCUUGGCGAAGGGGGGAUCAGGAAGUGCGGACCGCGGCGGCGGCGGCGGCGGAGCCCGGAGCGGAGGCCGGAGGCUCCCGGCCCGCCGGCCCCGGAGCGGAGCGGAGCGGAGCGGAGGAUGCAGCAGCCGCAGCCGCAGGGGCAGCAGCAGCCGGGGCCGGGGCAGCAGCUGGGGGGCCAGGGGGCGGCGCCGGGGGCCGGGGGCGGCCCAGGGGGGGGCCCGGGGCCGGGGCCCUGCCUGAGGCGGGAGCUGAAGCUGCUAGAGUCCAUCUUCCACCGCGGCCACGAGCGCUUCCGCAUUGCCAGCGCCUGCCUGGACGAGCUGAGCUGCGAGUUCCUGCUGGCUGGGGCCGGAGGGGCCGGGGCCGGGGCGGGGGCCGCGCCCGGACCGCAUCUGCCCCCACGGGGGUCGGUGCCCGGGGAUCCCGUCCGCAUCCACUGCAACAUCACGGUGAGGACCCUCUCGCGUGCGCCUCUCGGGGGCCCCUGGUCAGGACUCAGGAUCACCCCACACAGCUUUUUGCUCUCGAAGGACCUGGGAGGCCGAAGCCCCUUCUCGAGUCUCUGUCCUCUCUAGUUUACACUUGUUUCUGCAGCUUGAGGUUCUUCUAGGCACUCAGACCUCUACUAAUGAUUCCUGAUAGCAAGGGACACCUCGACAUAUGGCGCCUGGACUCCCCCUUCCACGAACCCACCCACAUCCCAAGGUUCAAGAUUUGGGCUCUUUUUGGCUACUCCUCUACAACUUUACCUUUCACCUGGGAAUGCCCCUUCCCCCCUCCCCAUUCUAAUUACUAGGUUCCAGGCCUCUGCACUGACCCCAGCUGGAAAGACCUCGCUUGGAACUCUGCACAUGUCAGUGAUGACCCCUCUCAGUAGUUCCUUUGACUCAGAUGUUUGCCACCUGUGGGAUCCCUGUCCAGUCAUCCCUCUUGCAGACCCUCUUUGCUUUCUGAAUUUCACCAAGUGAUAGUUUGCAGUACAUUGAUUCCUCUUCCUUUACUCCUUUGAAUACCCUUUUAUUUUGGUGUAACCUCUAACACUCCCCUUUUGCCUCAGCUGGUAGCAGAUCUUCCACUCUCCCUGUUCCCUGUGGAUAUGUCCAUUUGCCUUAGGUCGGUUCCUUUCUUGGUAGUGACAGUAUUGUGAUGUGCAUAAGGUACCCCAUUUAUUCUGAGCACACUGUUCUGUUCUCCCCAGUGGGCAUUGUUUCAUUCUAAGUAUACUAGGCUGGGAGACGCCUUGCAUGUGUCCUGCCUUAUUCUGCCCUCAAACAUUCCUUGAGGAGGUUAGCUUUCUGAUAACUUGUAAUGUGUGGUCCCACCUGGGGUAGCACUUCCACUGGUUGGAAUUCCCUGUUGUGGUCUUCCCCCUGCUGAAGCAGUAGCUGGGGAGCUGGUGGACAGUGCUGUAUCCAGGCAGGCAGUCUGAAUAGGAGUAGCCUGGGGAAAGACAGACUUGCGAAUUCUGUGGUGCUUGGGCGCCUGAAUCCAGUUGACACGGUGUUUUCUUUCCUUUUUCUCAGUCAAACCAGGUCAAGGUUUGGUGAGGUAAGCCUCAGCUUGGGUUGGAUGGUGCCCCACCAAAACUCAUGUGUCCUAUUUCUCUCUUUUCCCAUCCUCCCCCCAAAAGUUAGCAUUGAAAGACCAGAAGUGGCUUAGUCAGGUGAAGACUUGAGUGUCUUUGGUGUAUAUUUUCCCCUCCAGCACUGAGGGCUAGAGCUGUGGCAGAGCUAAGCUCCCAGGAGUGGGUAAGGUUUCCUGGGCAGGCGGAAGCCUCCAGGUUUAAUUUUGUUGUGAAGUUAAGAUUCUGGCUCCUUAAGGGUAGGUUUGGCCCCAUCUACCUACCCUUUUACUCGCUAGAGGCCAUCUCCUAUCUUUGUCCUUGGUUGGGAGUUAAUUUAGGGGUUCCUCAGCUAGACUCCCUGUGGCCCCAUAAAGGAGACUUGGCCUGAACUAGCCCUUUUGGUUUGGGUAGAGGGGAGUCUGGUCAGGCGUUUGGCAACGUGGCUCAGGAAUGCUGGGAAUGUCAGCAGCGUAGGCCUCUUUCUCCCAUCCUGCCAUGUGGAGUCCCACAGCCCACGCCUGGACAGAGAAGGUGGCAGGUUCCCAAGGGAGAGGUGGGGAGAACUGGUCUUUGAGGAGUUCUCUUGGGAAUGGGGUGGGGAGAUUCUUGCUGAUAUUCUUUCAGCUUCUGAAUAUAUAGUUUUAUUUUUGUCCCUCCCUCCCUAGUGAGCUGUAGUCUUUGCAUUUUUCACAGCAGUGUGAUUGUGAUGAGGUUGAUCUUUCCUCCCUUUGCUGGAGUUUGGAAAGCAGAAGGAUUUGGGAGGACUCUGACUUGGGUGUGGGAGAACUCCAAGUCUGGAACUUGGAGGGGCAGGACAGAAGAUCAGGAGUCCCUCACUGUUAGCAGUGUGGCUGUCCUGCUUUCUCUGGUUUUUGCUGUGGCGGAAAGAAAAAGUUCCAGGUUGCUUCUUUGAAAAGUCUUCUGAGGGACUGUUUUCUCCCAGUCUUGGCUUUGUUGGGAAGCUGCUUGGUUAGAUACUGAUCUGCUGAGUGGCUUUUAUUACUGUGUAGGGCUUGAGGUGGGCAAGCAAAGGGACCAGAAAUCUUGGGGGUCAGAGUGCAGGCAAAGUCUGGCACCUCCCAGAGUUGCCCAUUGUGACUGCUCUUCCUACUCUUUCCCCUUAGGAGUCAUACCCUGCUGUGCCCCCCAUCUGGUCGGUGGAAUCUGAUGACCCUAACUUGGCUGCUGUCUUGGAGAGGCUGGUGGACAUAAAGAAAGGGAAUACUCUGGUGAGGGGGCCAGGGGGUAGGAGCACACAUGUGUCUGUGAGGCCUGUGUCAUAAAGUCCCGGGCGAAAGGGCGCUGUAUAUGAAAAGUGGCCGAACAUGGUGGGGCAGACUUCCUAGGGGAGUUGUCUGAAGCCAGAGGUGAAUCCCAGUAGAGGCCAUCCUCUGCAGGAUUGGUGGACCAGGAACCAUUCCCACAGCCUGUGGUCCAUCGGGUUUAGAGAACUAGGUGCCGGUUUGGGAUGUGAGCUACAAGUUUAUCAGUGCAGCUGUCCAUAUUAGAGUGGGAAAGAAGUGUUUGAUAUCUCUGUGGUCCCCAACCCAGCUCUUGCAGCAUCUGAAGAGGAUCAUCUCCGACCUGUGUAAACUCUACAACCUCCCUCAGCAUCCUGAUGUGGAGAUGCUGGAUCAGCCCUUGCCAGCAGAGCAGGUGAGCAGCUAAAGGGCUUUAGGCUGUUGUACAGAGUUGUGCCACAGAGAGCACUCAACAAGUACGCGGUAACUGAGACAGAUCUGCAGUAGCCUCUCCCCACCCCCACCCACCCCCAAAUACACACACAUGUGACUUUCAGCCUCUUUUUUCUCUAGAUGGGAGUCUAGCUGAGUGGAACACUAGUAGCUUCAUCUCUCCUAUCGAACCCCCCUCUCCGGCAUCUGUUGCCAUCCCGGAGGUUGAGAAGGAGUGGAACUUUUACCAUUAUCUUAGAAGUAGCAGUUGGUGGCCACUGGGGACCCAGGCCCUUUCUUUCGAGCCAAGAAUACAGUAUCAGUCUAGAAAAGAUCAAGUAAAAGAGGGGUUCUUAGGAAAAUUAAGUGGGGUUUGCAAGGUGGGUGACAAGAAGAGCCAUUUUUCUUUUUUUAUUCCUUGGCAUAUGGUAGGAAGAAAAUGAUGGGCUGAUAGGGAAGUCAUCCCGGCUCUUGCUUCCACUGACUCUGGCUGUUGGAGAAACGGGGCGAGUGUAUAGCUUCCAGACCAGGAGGCUUAGGGGAGUAGGUCAGAGGCUGCACUCCACAGUCACUGGGGCUCUGAUCUCAUCUCCCUCCCCUCCCCACUGCAGUGCACACAGGAAGAAGUAUCUUCAGAAGAUGAAGACGAGGAGAUGCCUGAGGUAGGCUUGCAACCUGAGGUGGUGUUGGCAGGAAGCUGUUGCCGUCAGCGGCACUCAUCACCCACCAUAAACAGAGCUCCAGUCUAGAACUAGGGAGAGAGAAACAAUGUACUGAUCAGGAGGAAUGACCAGUGUAGUAGAGGAAACAGGCACCAUAUCCCCCCUCUGAAGGCAAUCAGGUGCAAAUAAAUACUCAAGUUAAUUUCAGAUGGCGUUGGAGGCUGACAGACUGAGUUUGCAUCCUGGCUAUCCUAACUAGGGAGGUACACCUAAUCUCACCAAGCUAGAUGGGAUUAUAAUACAUGCUGCAUAUGGUUGUCUUAAGAUUAAGUAAAAUAUUGUAUAUAAAGUAUUUUGUGAGUACUAAGUAACUUACGUAAUAUAUUCUUUAAAAACAUAGAUGCUUUUGCAGAAUACAGAGUAACGAUUAAGAAUUUGAGUUUCAGAUCUAGAUAGAACUUGAUCUAAUGUUUAGCUCUGCCAAGAGUUCUAUGACUUUGGGCAUGAGAAUUAAUAUCUUACUAGACUUAAGCUUCCUCAUUUGUAAAAUGGAGACAGCGAUUGAAUAACGUUUAAUAAUGGUUGUGAGGAUGAAAUGAUCUGGUGUGUAAUAAACAUUAAGUAGAUGUUAGCUGGUACUGUAAUAAUCAGGAGGUUAGUAUGUUCUGCCAGGUAAGACACUGAUCACUUUGUUUCAGAGCAUUGGAUUAAUGUCCCAAGUUCUAUAAGUCUGUAAAGGUCUUAAGACUGACAGACAGCUGGUGACACAUGAAAUUUACUCUUCCCAGACGGUGGACAGCCCUGUGUACCACACCCUGAACACCUGACUGAAAGGCUAACUCCUGGCGUCCUCCCCCUGUGAAUAGUGAACUACUUGUUCACUUAGAAUAGGUUGAAUAAAGAGCUAAUUCUGUUCUUAACUUCGGCUGCCUUCCUCUCUGGACCCCCUUUCUCAUUUCCAUCUUGUUAGUAGGUGCCUCUGCAAACCUGACUCAAGCCCUACAUUUGUAGGGAGAGGAGGAGAUGAAAUCCCAGAUUCUCCUCUGGACCUGAGGCCCUGAGGAUCCUGGGUACAUCAGUUCACCUGAUGAAACAUGAGCUUUCAGUGACAGUGUCGGGCCAAAGUCAUUCUGAUAGGAAUUGGGAAAGAGAAGGGGGGUUUUAGGGGCAGGUCAAGCAGGGUUGUCCUGGGGAGCAAAAGGCCAAGUCUUCGUAGGUCCUUACCUUAGCUCUGUGGCUGUAGAACUGGAGAAGAGAAGUGCCUGUCCUUCACAGGGUGGAGGGAUAGGGUUGGGAAGUGUUCUGGAAGCGAGGGGGGGUGUUGAGUGGUGGGACUGCUAGAUGACUGCUUCUCCUGGAGCUCCAGGCCAGGUGGGACUAGGAAGGUGACGGUCCUCAUUCACAGCCUUCUCCCUUUCCCCUCUGUUCCCCUCCCUCCCGCUCUGCCCAGGACACGGAAGACCUAGAUCACUAUGAAAUGAAAGAGGAAGAGCCAGCUGAGGGCAAGAAAUCCGAAGACGAUGGCAUCGGAAAAGAAAACCUGGCCAUCCUAGAGAAGAUCAAAAAGAACCAGAGGCAAGAUUACUUAAAUGUACGUGCCUCGUAGGGAGUGGCGGGGCACGAGGGAGGUGGGCACUACCUGGGGAGUGGUAGGCCGCAGCUCACAGCAUAGGGAGCUGCUCGCAUCUAAUCGUCCUCCAGACCCUGGGCAAGCAGUGGAGGUGUAACGUGUGUUUCCAGACUGGGACCAGAGAAUGUUCUGUUGUUUCUCCCUCACAGGGUGCAGUGUCUGGCUCGGUGCAGGCCACUGACCGGCUGAUGAAGGAGCUCAGGGAUAUAUACCGAUCACAGAGUUUCAAAGGCGGUGAGUUAGCUCCAGAGAGGGGCUUGCACGGGAGUUUCUCCUCGGGGUGGAUAUGGGAUAUGAUAUGAUAUGGUGCAGAAAGCCCCAGGGUUCGGGGUACAUGAGUAUUGACAAACUUGCGGUCAGGAACGGAGCACCUUAAAGCCAGUGGCUUGGCUUGGGUGUGCAUUCAUCUAGAGCAGACCUGGACCUUUGAUCUUUUUCCCUCGGUUUGUGAGAGGGAGCAGUCUGAGGGACCCCUCCCCGUCUGUACUGUCCUACUGACACUUCCCUUCCCCUUUUCUAGGAAACUAUGCAGUUGAACUCGUGAAUGACAGUCUAUACGAUUGGAAUGUCAAACUCCUCAAGUGAGUGGGGACUGGGGAGUCGGGAGCGGGGUGGGUGGAACACCUGGUGAUGUCUGGGCAGUCUCACUAGCAUGUUGGUUGCAGGGUCCCCAGAAGUGGGUGUGGGCAGUGGUAUGUGUAUCUGGGGCCGGCCGGGGCGCAGGGGAGGAGGGGGUUGGUGGGGAGCCCUUGUGAGGCUCUGCACUGGGACAAGGGUUUGAGCCCAGACUUGUUUCACAGAGUUGACCAGGACAGCGCUUUGCACAAUGAUCUCCAAAUCCUCAAAGAGAAGGAAGGAGCUGAUUUCAUCCUACUUAAUUUCUCCUUUAAGGUAAGCCUUCCCCCAGCUCUCCCUCCCUGGCCUGAGUUCCCUGUCUGCCUAAGUCUUGUGAGGAUGCCGGUCUCCUUCCCUGAAUGCUGCCUCUGUCUUUCUCAGGAUAACUUUCCCUUUGACCCACCGUUCGUCAGGGUUGUGUCUCCAGUCCUCUCUGGAGGGUGAGUGGCUGGGUCAGGGAGAGGGUGAAGCAGGGACUGGAAGCUCUUGCCAGGCCUGACUGACCGACCUUUCUCAUGCAGGUAUGUUCUGGGCGGAGGUGCCAUCUGCAUGGAACUUCUCACCAAGCAGGUGAGGCCCUUUCACUGUUGGCCCAAGAGCCUGGGUGGGGCCCGACAGCUGAGCUUCCUCCCCAUCCCAGCCUGGGCACAGGCGUCUGUGGCCCUGUUACCCUGCCACGUAGUGGCUGUCCUGGGAGGGAAGGGCACGGGCACUUCCAUAGAGAGGCACUGCCGCCUGGAGAAGAAGUGGAAGGUGUCUCCAGGAGCCC
rnacentral:lncRNA from 1 species